ensembl:lncRNA
CUGCCAUUUUACUCCACUGCGACUGGACGAGACGGUGUAUCGUUACGCCUUGGCCAGACCAAAUCCGCCAUGCAUAUGCUUAACAACGGAAAUUAAUUUCCAAUGAACAAGUGUGUUAUGAUGCAAAGACUUACGCCUGAUGUCCACCAGAUAAGUCAAACUCGUUGCAUUGCGCCGUGGAGUCAUUCAUUGUCAAUGGAGCAAUCCAAAAAGAGCCUGACAGACAGACUAGCCUCAUCGACGAAUCCUGUCCACCAACAGCCCUCCUGGUCCAUACGAAAGUAAUUAAGGGAGCAGAAUGACAUGUCUGACUUUGAUGAGGAGAGAAACGUGGACAAGUGUCCAAGCAACUCAUAAAAGAGGCUAUGGCUUUCCAUCAUCCCCCUAAGUGAUUCUCGGCAAACCUUGAAAGACCAAAU